GAUGAACGCUAGCUACAGGCUUAACACAUGCAAGUCGAGGUACCGGCGCACGGGUGAGUAACACGUAUCCAACCUGCCCUUUACUCUGGGCUAGCCUUUCGAAAGAAAGAUUAAUACCCGAUAUAAAGGAUGGGGAUCCGUUCCAUUGGGUUGUUGGUGAGGUAACUGCUCACCAAGCCUUCGAUGGAUCUGGGUUCGGAGAGGAAGGUCACCCACAUUGGAACUGAGACACGGUCCAAACUCAUACGGGAGGCAGCAGUGAGGAAUAUUGGUCAGUGGGCGGUAGCCUGAACCAGCCAAGUAGCGUGAAGGAUGAAGGCUUAUGGGUCGUAAACUUCUUUUAUAUAAGAAUAUGUAUUAUAUGAAUAAGGUUCGGCUAACUCCGUGCCAGCAGCCGCGGUAAUAC
rnacentral:rRNA from 1 species